rnacentral:rRNA from 1 species
GAUGAACGCUAGCGGCAGGCUUAAUACAUGCAAGUCGAGGGGCAUCAAGGUACACGAAAGUGUAUUGUUGGCGACCGGCGGACGGGUGAGUAAUAGGUAGGUAACCUACCUCAUACUGAGGCAUAGCUGGGAGAAAUUCCAGGUAAUUCCUCAUGAGGUUAUAUGACACAUGUGAUAUAAUCAAAGGUAUCGCAAGGUACUGGUAUGAGAUGGGCUUACUGACCAUUAGCUAGUUGGUGAGAUAAGAGCUCACCAAGGCGAAGAUGGUUAGGGGUUUUGAGAGAGAGAUCCCCCACAUUGGAACUGAGAUACGGUCCAGACUCCUACGGGAGGCAGCAGUAGGGAAUAUUGGGCAAUGGGCGGAAGCCUGACCCAGCCAUGCCGCGUGAAGGAAGACGGCCUUAGUGGGUUGUAAACUUCUUUACUAUGCGACUAACUAGAUUUACGAGAUAAUUCUAUAGAAUGUAGCAUAGACAAAAAGCACGGUA